rnacentral:ncRNA from 1 species
UUUCGAAAAAGGCAAACCUGUCGAAAGGCGGGGACGCAAAGCUGCGGGUCUAAGGAAUUAGUGGCCGGUCCACUACUCUAUGACAGUCGGGCUGCCGAA